AGAGUUUGAUCCUGGCUCAGAAUGAACGCUGGCGGCGUGCUUAACACAUGCAAGUCGCACGAGAACUCUUCUGCUUGCAGAAGAUAGUAAAGUGGCGCACGGGUGAGUAACGCGUGGGCAAUCUACCUCCGAAUCGGGGAUAACCCGCCGAAAGGCGAGCUAAUACCGGAUAAUAUCUUUAAAACAUCGGUUUUUUGGAUCAAAGGUGGCCUCUACAUGUAAGCUACUGUUUGGAGAUGAGCCCGCGUACCAUUAGCUUGUUGGUAGGGUAAUGGCCUACCAAGGCUUCGAUGGUUAGCUGGUCUGAGAGGAUGAUCAGCCACACUGGAACUGACACACGGUCCAGACUCCUACGGGAGGCAGCAGUGAGGAAUUUUGCGCAAUGGGGGAAACCCUGACGCAGCAACGCCGCGUGAGUGAUGAAGGCCUUUGGGUCGUAAAGCUCUGUCGAGUGGGAAGAACUUGUUGGAUGCUAAUACCAUCCUUCACUGACGGUACCAUCUGAAGAAGCACCGCUAACU
rnacentral:rRNA from 1 species